GUCUCCCUGUAGCUCAGUUAGAGCAUCUGACCGAAGUACGGAAGGUCAUGGGUUCGACUCCCGUCGGGGACU